UUUCAACCUAUUUAUUUUCCAGCCAGCUACAAUUUACAUGCUCGACGUUACAUGUCUGGGCUCCUGAAUUUAUUAUCUACUUCAAGCAGAGG